rnacentral:misc_RNA from 1 species
AGUUACUCUACCACCAGAUCUCCAUUUGGUUCCUGGAUAUAGUUUCCCUUUGGUCCGUUUGCUUUGUGAUGUGAGGUGACUUACUGAUAGUUCCAUGGAUUCUCACCCACCCGUUUUGGCAAAGUUUUCUUGCUUCUCGCACAUUUAUCUUGGUUAAUCAUGGUUCACACAAGCGGAUAUAAUAUGAAGAAUCAGUUGACGAAACUCACUGAAAAUAUGUAAAUCAAUGAUUGAAGAGCUCCUA